rnacentral:lncRNA from 10 species
GUCAGCAGUGCCCAGAGUCAGGGUCCUCCGCUGCCUGAGGCGUCAACAUGCCUGCCUGCAAUGUGUUUGUGCAUGGCCUAGGGGAUGCCAAAUUCCAGGGUCCAGAAAGAGCUUGGGAUAAAAUGAAACUUCAAGGGGACGGCUUUGACCUGGGCUGAGUCUGCCUGUGCCGAGUCUGCCUGUGCCAUCCAACUGGAGUCUCAAGUCCUGAGGCAGUACGUCCAGAUGCCCCAGUGCAGGGUCCUCCUGAUCAACACCUGCUCCCCUGUACUCAUUAGCAACCUCACCCACCCUACUCUCAAAGCACACUUGGCUCUCAUAUCCAGGAGCUCUGCAUCUGUGGAUUCAGCAACAGCAGAUGGAAAAUAUUCAGAAAAUAAAUUGGACGGUUAUGUUUCUAUUGAAUUGCUCUUGUCAUUAUUCCCUAAAGAAUACAGUAUCACGACCAUUUAUGUAGCAUCUGCAUUGUAUUACACAUCCUGAAUAAUCUAGAGAUGGUCUAAUGUCUAC